UCCGGUUUGGCACCGGCAGUCUUCCUAGAGUCCCCAACUAAAUGCUGGCAACAUGCGACGGGGGUUGCGCUCGUUGCGGGACUUAACCCAACAUCUCACGACACGAGCUGACGACAGCCAUGCACCACCUGUGAACCGGCCCCGAAGGGAAGCCCUGUUUCCAGGGCGGUCCGGCACAUGUCAAGCCCAGGUAAGGUUCUUCGCGUUGCGUCGAAUUAAACCACAUGCUCCGCUGCUUGUGCGGGCCCCCGUCAAUUCCCUUGAGUUUUAGCCUUGCGGCCGUACUCCCCAGGCGGGGCACUUAAUGCGUUAGCUUCGGCACGGGGGGAGUCGACACCCCCCACACCUAGUGCCCAUCGUUUACAGCGUGGACUAC
rnacentral:misc_RNA from 1 species